GUGCCAGCCGCCGCGGUAAUACGUAGGGUGCGAGCGUUGUCCGGAAUUACUGGGCGUAAAGAGCUCGUAGGUGGUUUGUCGCGUUGUUCGUGAAAUCUCACGGCUUAACUGUGAGCGUGCGGGCGAUACGGGCAGACUGGAGUACUGCAGGGGAGACUGGAAUUCCUGGUGUAGCGGUGGAAUGCGCAGAUAUCAGGAGGAACACCGGUGGCGAAGGCGGGUCUCUGGGCAGUAACUGACGCUGAGGAGCGAAAGCGUGGGGAGCGAACAGGAUUAGAUACCCUGGUAGUCCACGCCGUAAACGGUGGGUACUAGGUGUGGGUUUCCUUCCUUGGGAUCCGUGCCGUAGCUAACGCAUUAAGUACCCCGCCUGGGGAGUACGGCCGCAAGGUUAAAACUUAAAGGAAUUGACGG
rnacentral:rRNA from 1 species